rfam:Oreochromis niloticus linkage group LG6, whole genome shotgun sequence.
GUCAGAGGCUGGGUCUUUGCGGGCAAGGUGAGUCCUCAUUUCAUUCAACUGGCCUACAAAGUCCCAGUUUCUGGC